rnacentral:rRNA from 1 species
AACGAACGCUGGCGGCAGGCCUAACGCAUGCAAGUCGAACGCCCCGCAAGGGGAGUGGCAGACGGGUGAGUAACGCGUGGGAACAUACCCUUCGGUUCGGAAUAGCUCAGGGAAACUUGGAUUAAUACCGGAUACGUCCGUAAGGAGAAAGAUUUAUCGCCGAAGGAUUGGCCCGCGUCUGAUUAGCUUGUUGGUGAGGUAAUGGCUCACCAAGGCGACGAUCAGUAGCUGGUCUGAGAGGAUGACCAGCCACAUUGGGACUGAGACACGGCCCAAACUCCUACGGGAGGCAGCAGUGGGGAAUAUUGGACAAUGGGCGAAAGCCUGAUCCAGCCAUGCCGCGUGAGUGAUGAAGGCCUUAGGGUUGUAAAGCUCUUUUACCCGGGAAGAUAAUGACGGUACCGGGAGAAUAAGCCCCGGCUAACUUCGUGCCAGCAGCCGCGGUAAUACGAGGGGGGCUAGCGUUGUUCGGAAUUACUGGGCGUAAAGCGCACGUAGGCGGAUUUUUAAGUCAGGGGUGAAAUCCCGAGGCUCAACCUCGGAACUGCCUUUGAUACUGGGAAUCUUGAGUCCGGGAGAGGUGAGUGGAACUGCGAGUGUAGAGGUGAAAUUCGUAGAUAUUCGCAAGAACACCAGUGGCGAAGGCGGCUCACUGGCCCGGUACUGACGCUGAGGUGCGAAAGCGUGGGGAGCAAACAGGAUUAGAUACCCUGGUAGUCCACGCCGUAAACGAUGGAUGCUAGCCGUUAGACAGCUUGCUGUUUAGUGGCGCAGUUAACGCUUUAAGCAUCCCGCCUGGGGAGUACGGUCGCAAGAUUA